rnacentral:tRNA from 2 species
GCUCCCUUAGCUCAAUCGGCAGAGCAACUGACUCUUAAUCAGUAGGUUCAAGGUUCGAGUCCUUGAGGGAGCA